rnacentral:rRNA from 1 species
CUUGCUCCCUUAGGUCAGCGGCGGACGGGUGAGUAACACGUGGGUAACCUGCCUGUAAGACUGGGAUAACUCCGGGAAACCGGGGCUAAUACCGGAUGCUUGAUUGAACCGCAUGGUUCAAUUAUAAAAGGUGGCUUUUAGCUACCACUUACAGAUGGACCCGCGGCGCAUUAACUAGUUGGUGAGGUAACGGCUCACCAAGGCGACGAUGCGUAGCCGACCUGAGAGGGUGAUCGGCCACACUGGGACUGAGACACGGCCCAGACUCCUACGGGAGGCAGCAGUAGGGAAUCUUCCGCAAUGGACGAAAGUCUGACGGAGCAACGCCGCGUGAGUGAUGAAGGUUUUCGGAUCGUAAAACUCUGUUGUUAGGGAAGAACAAGUACCGUUCGAAUAGGGCGGUACCUUGACGGUACCUAACCAGAAAGCCACGGCUAACUACGUGCCAGCAGCCGCGGUAAUACGUAGGUGGCAAGCGUUGUCCGGAAUUAUUGGGCGUAAAGCGCGCGCAGGCGGUUUCUUAAGUCUGAUGUGAAAGCCCCCGGCUCAACCGGGGAGGGUCAUUGGAAACUGGGGAACUUGAGUGCAGAAGAGGAGAGUGGAAUUCCACGUGUAGCGGUGAAAUGCGUAGAGAUGUGGAGGAACACCAGUGGCGAAGGCGACUCUCUGGUCUGUAACUGACGCUGAGGCGCGAAAGCGUGGGGAGCGAACAGGAUUAGAUACCCUGGUAGUCCACGCCGUAAACGAUGAGUGCUAAGUGUUAGAAGGUUUCCGCCCUUUAGUGCUGCAGCAAACGCAUUAAGCACUCCGCCUGGGGGAGUACGGUCGCAAGACU